UACAGAGGUCCCAAGCGUUGUUCGGAUUCACUGGGCGUAAAGGGUGCGUAGGUGGUUGAUUAAGUUUGAUGUGAAAUCUCCGAGCUCAACUCGGAAACUGCAUUGAAUACUAUUUGACUAGAGGAUUGGAGGGGGGACUGGAAUUCUCGGUGUAGCAGUGAAAUGCGUAGAUAUCGAGAGGAACACCAGUGGCGAAGGCGAGUCCCUGGACAACUCCUGACACUGAGGCACGAAAGCUAGGGGAGCAAACAGG
rnacentral:rRNA from 1 species